UACGUAGGGUGCAAGCGUUAAUCGGAAUUACUGGGCGUAAAGCGUGCGCAGGCGGCUUUGCAAGACAGAUGUGAAAUCCCCGGGCUUAACCUGGGAACUGCAUUUGUGACUGCAUGGCUGGAGUGCGGCAGAGGGGAUGGAAUUCCGCGUGUAGCAGUGAAAUGCGUAGAUAUGCGGAGGAACACCGAUGGCGAAGGCAAUCCCCUGGGCCUGCACUGACGCUCAUGCACGAAAGCCGUGG
rnacentral:rRNA from 1 species